AACAAACGCUGGCGGCGUGCCUAAUACAUGCAAGUCGAACGGGGAAAGUAGCAAUACGAGUACUAGUGGCGCACGGGUGAGGAAUACAUGGGUAAUCUGCCCUCGAGCUCGGGAUAACCAGUCGAAAGACUGGCUAAUACCGGAUAUGACCACAAGAUCUGAGGAUCAAGGGGUAAAAGGUUUUUCGCUUGAGGAUGAGCCCAUGUGGGAUUAGCUAGUUGGUGUAGGUAACGGCUCACCAAGGCGACGAUCCCUAACUGGUCUUAGAGGAUGAUCAGUCACACUGGAACUGAGACACGGUCCAGACUCCUACGGGAGGCAGCAGUAGGGAAUAUUGCACAAUGGAGGAAACUCUGAUGCAGCGACGCCGCGUGAGUGAUGAAGGCCUUCGGGUCGUAAAGCUCUGUCGUAUGGGACUAACAAAAUGAAGGUACCAUGCAAGAAAGGAUCGGCUAACUUCGUGCCAGCAGCCGCGGUAAU
rnacentral:rRNA from 1 species